rnacentral:rRNA from 1 species
AGUUUGAUCAUGGCUCGAUUGAACGCUGGCGGGUUGCUUUACACAUGCAAGUCGAACGGCAGCACGGACUUCGUCUGGUGGCGAGGCGAACGGGUGAGUAAUGUGUCGGAACGUGCCUAGUAGCGUGGAUAAUCACGGUGUAGUAGCCAUUACCGGCGACGCCCUUCGGGGGAAAGCGGGGGACCUUCGGGCCUCGCACUAUUAGAGCGGCCGAUAUCGGAUUAGCUAGUUGGUGGGGUAACGGCUCACCGGUGGCGACGAUCCGUAGCUGGUUUGAGAGGACGACCAGCCACACUGGGACUGACACGGCCCAGACUCCUACGGGAGGCAGCAGGGGAAUUGGACACGGGGAAACCUGAUCCAGCCAUCCCGCGUAGGCGAUGAAGGCCUUCGGGUUGUAAAACACUCGGCAGGAAAGAAACGGCACGGGAUAAUACCCCGUGCAACUGACGGUACCUGCAGAAUAAGCACCGGCUAACUACGUGCCAGCAGCCGCGGUAAUACAGGGGUAAGCGUUAAUCGGAAUUACUGGGCGUAAGCGUGCGCAGGCGGUUCGGAAAGAAAGAUACGUGGAAAUCCAGAGCUUAACUUUGAACUGCAUUUUUAACUACCGAGCUAGAGGUGUCAGGAGGGAGGUGAAUUCUAUGUGUAGCAGUGAAAUGGUGAUAUGCGGAGGAACACCGAUGGCGAAGGCAGCCUCUGGGAUAACAAUGAUCAUGCACGAAAGCGCGGAGCAAACAGGAUUGAGGAUAAUUCUGGUAGUCCACGCCUGAACGAUGUCAACUAGCUGUUAGCCUUCGGCCUCGUAGCAGCUAAUCGCGUGAAGUUGACCGCCUGUAUAUGGUCGUUGAUUAAACUCAAAGGAAUGGAUGGGACCCGCACAAGCGGUGAUGAUGUGGAUUAAUUCGACAACGCGAAAAACCUUACCUACCUUUAUUAUGUCUGAAUCCUGAAGAGAUUUGGGGAGGUUCGUGAGAAAUCCGAACACAGGGUGCUGUAAUGCUGUCGUCAGCCGUGUUGCAGAGAUGUUGGGUUAUGUCCCGCAACGAGCGCAACUCGGUUGCCAGUUGCCAUGAAAGGGCACUCUAAUGAGACUGUCGCAGACAAACCGAGGAAGGAUGACGUCAAGUCCUCAUGGCCCUCUUAUGGGUAGUGGCCACAUCGUCAUACAAUGGUCGGGACAGAGGGCCGCCAAACCCGCGAGGGGGGAGCCAAUCCCAGUAGUGAAACCCGAUCAGGUCCGGAUCGCAGUCUGCAACUCGACUGCGAAGCUCGGAAUCGCUAGUAAUCGCGGAUCAGCAGCAUGUCGCGGUGAAUACGUUCCCUGGCCUGUACACACCGCCCGUCACACCAUGGGAGUGGGUUUUACCAGAAGUAGUUACUCAAAUCCGCGAGGGCGAUUACCAUUAUAGAGUCUAUGACUGGGGUGAAGUCGUAAUGAAGGUGUCG